rnacentral:lncRNA from 1 species
GUUAACAGCAAAGUGGACGACUGGAGCACGGGUGGCAAUGAGCUGAACUCCUACACGCCAGCCAUUCACUGGGUCCUGUAAGCCCCUGAGCAGAGAGAAGGUGGGUUGCAUGACCACCAAUUCUGUAAAUAGCGGCCAAAGCCAACCAAGGCUCUGCAUAAACAACCAUAUGAUAACAAUCUUUGUCACUGAUGCCCUGGUUUAAUCCACCUGGAAAGACACAGCCUUCCUUGUUGCACAGACUUUACACCAGUGUCGUUUUCCAGCACAACAGGUCCAGGAGCCAAGGCAGCAGUGUGACCCCCGUCAGCUUCAUGGGCCAGGGAGAUGUCAAAUCCAGAAACCAGGAGAUGCUAUGGUCAUGCCUCUGCCCAGGGAGUCUGCCUCUGCUGCCUAUGCUCUUCUGUAGGGACUUGUAUUAACCAGAGAGGAUUGUGGUCAGGAUGGCACUUCUUUAAAGAGCCAUCAUGAAGCUGAGGGGCAGCACCUCAAACCGUGCACAGUGUUCAGAACGGCUCCGUCUUCACCUCUGGAGUAGCAAGGUUGCAAUGAAAAUGCACGGGAGACCCUCACCUGUGUCAGGUCUGCUGUGAGCCAUUCUAAUAAACAGCACGUUUUUCUUCCCUCUCA